rnacentral:rRNA from 1 species
UACGUAUGGGGCAAGCGUUGUUCGGAGUUAUUGGGCGUAAAGGGCGUGUAGGCGGUUCAUUAAGUCUGGUGUGAAAUCGCAGGGCCUAACCUUGCGUGUGCGCUGGAAACUAGUGGACUUGAGUUCCUGAGGGGAAGCUGGAAUUCCAGGUGUAGGGGUGAAAUCUGUAGAUAUCUGGAAGAACACCGGUGGCGAAGGCGAGCUUCUAUCAGAGGACUGACGCUGAGGCGCGAAAGCGUGGGGAGCAAAC